rnacentral:rRNA from 1 species
CUUGAUGGAGCAAUGCCGCGUGCAGGAUGAAGGCCUUCGGGUUGUAAACUGCUUUUAUAAGAGAAGAUUAUGACGGUAACUUAUGAAUAAGGGACGGCUAACUACGUGCCAGCAGCCGCGGUCAUACGUAGGUCCCGAGCGUUAUCCGGAGUGACUGGGCGUAAAGAGUUGCGUAGGCGGUCAAGUUAGCGAGCGAUGAAAACUAUCGGCUCAACCGAUAGCUUGUUGUUCGAACUGCUUGACUCGAGAGUAUCAGAGGUCGCUGGAAUUCCUAGUGUAGCAGUGAAAUGCGUAGAUAUUAGGAAGAACACCGAUGGCGUAGGCAGGCGACUGGGAUAUUUCUGACGCUAAGGCACGAAAGCGUGGGUAGCGAACCGGAUUAGAUACCCGGGUAGUCCACGCCGUAAACGAUGGAUGCUAAUUGUUUGAGGUAUCGACCCCUCGAGUAAUAAAGCUAACGCGUUAAGCAUCCCGCCUGUGGAGUACGGCCGCAAGGCUAAAACAUAAAGGAAUUGACGGGGACCCGCACAAGCGGUGGAGGAUGUUCUUUAAUUCGACGUUAAGCGAAGAACCUUACCAGGGCUUGACAUCCCUAGAACUUUUUCGAAAGAAAAAGGUGCCUUCGGGAGCUAGGUGACAGAUCCUGCAUGGCCGUCGUCAGCUCGUGUCGUGAGAUGUUUGGUUAAGUCCAUCAACGAGCGCAACCCUUGUCGUCAGUUGUAUUUUUCUGGCGAGACUGCCCCGGUAACGGGGAGGAAGGAGGGGAUGAUGUCAGGUCAGUAUUGGUCUUACGCCCUGGGCUAGAAACGUCCUACAAUGGUCGGUACAAUGGGCAGCCAACCCGUGAGGGGGAGCAAAUCCCAUCAAAGCCGGUCUCAGUUCGGAUUGCAGGCUGAAACUCGCCUGCAUGAAGUCGGAAUCGCUAGUAAUCGCAGAUCAGCACGUUGCGGUGAAUACGUUCCCGGGUCUUGUACACACCGCCCGUCAAACCAUGAAAGUCAGGAGCACCCGACGUCCGGAUUUAUUUCGGCCUAAGGUGAGCUUGGUGAUUGGGGUUAAGUCGUAACAAGGUAUCCGUACCGGAAGGUGCGGAUG